GGCUGGUCCGAAGGUAGUGAGUUAUCUUAAUUGAUUGUUCACUAAGUACAGAUUGAACCCCUUGUUCUACUCUUUCCCCCCUUCUCACUACUGCACUUGACUAGUCUUUU
rnacentral:Y_RNA from 1 species